CAGCCGUAAACUAUGCGCGUUAGGUGUACUGGUGACCACGAGUCACCGGGGUGCCGAAGGGAAACCGUGAAACGUGCCGCCUGGGAAGUACGGUCGCAAGGCUGAAACUUAAAGGAAUUGGCGGGGGAGCACAACAACGGGUGGAGCCUGCGGUUUAAUUGGACUCAACGCCGGACAACUCACCGGGGACGACAGCAAUAUGUAGGCCAGGCUGAAGACCUUGCCUGAAUCGCUGAGAGGAGGUGCAUGGCGUAG
rnacentral:rRNA from 1 species